UGUGGCUUCUGAGCAAGGAGCGACGGCAGUCGCCCUCCAGCAGCCCCAGUGGGCAGCCCUGGGCUGCCACCAGCUCCAGCAGCGCCUCCCAGCUCCGGGAGCAGGGGCUGGGCAGGCUGCACCGCGCGGCCGCCCGCGGUGACCUGGGCUGGCUGAGGCGCUGGCGCUGGUACGUCAAGGUAGUCGGCAUCGACAGGCCAGACCAGGAGAUGCGGACACCUUUGCAUCUGGCUUCAGCCAAUGGCCAUGCAGAUGUCGUGAGAUAUCUGCUAAGAAAGAACAGCCAGCCCAACCUCGCUGACAGCUUCAAGAGAACAGCCCUGAUGAAGGUGUGUGGAAUGCCUUCUGAGCUUGGAGGUGGGGCUCAGUGCUGGGGUGUUAAAGGGGAGGUGUCUGGCAGGAUUCCUUGCAGGGCAGGGCCAUAGAAACACACCUAUUGCAAUGGGCAGGGCACAGCCUCUGUUAGCUGAUCUUUGAAGAUGGUCUUCUAUGGCAGCACUCAGGAGCUGAGGGAGUUGUGACAGAGGGGGAUGGAAAAGUUGGAAGCCUUUCCCUUUUGGUGUGUUGUUGCCAGGCAGUCCAGCAGGAGCAGGAAGAAUGUGUUGCUGUUCUGCUGGAACACGGUGCCGACCCCAAUCUGGCAGACGCUGAUGGCAACACUGCCCUUCACCUGGCUGUGCUCUCUAAAAACACAGCUGUAGCAGGGCUGUUACUGGAGCAUCAUGCCAACAGUGAUGCUCAGAACCAGUGGGGAUUUACCCCCUUGAAACUUGCAGCCUUCCAACAGCAUGAGGAGAUGGAGUGCCUU